UACAGAGGUCUCAAGCGUUGUUCGGAUUCAUUGGGCGUAAAGGGUGUGUAGGUGGCGCCGUAAGUCGGGUGUGAAAUUUCGGAGCUUAACUCCGAAACUGCAUUCGAUACUGCGGUGCUUGAGGACUGGAGAGGAGACUGGAAUUCAGGUGUAGCAGUGAAAUGCGUAGAGAUCAUGAAGGAAGACCAGUGGCGAAGGCGGGUCUCUGGACGAGU
rnacentral:rRNA from 1 species